UCAAUCCGAAAUACGCCCGCUAAUAAUUUUUCCAGAUAAUAAUAAUUUUAAUUUGUUAGAAGAAGCAGAUUACCAAAAGCUAAUUUUGUAUCUCAGUUCAGUACCGUCAUUGAAAGACGCUGAUCUUGGGUUUCAUUUAAUUGUGGAUCGACGAACGGACAGGUGGACUUCGGUGAAGACUGUUUUGCAAAGAAUCUCGAUUUAUUUUCCGGGUAUUAUUCAUGUAGUAUAUGUGCUUCGUCCGUCGGGGCUCUUUCAAAAAGCUAUAUCAGAAGUGAGCACAAAGUUUUCCAAAGAUGAAUAUAGAUUUCGACUGGUUGUGUGCUCGGCUCUUUCUGAUCUGCAUGACUUUGUCGAUGCUAGCCAAUUAACACCCGAUAUGGGAGGCGUUUUGAUCUACUCUCAUCACGAUUGGAUACAACAAAGAAUUUUAUGUAUUUUAUUUUCAGUAUAUAUGUACAUACAUACAUAUAGGUUUUUUGUUUGUUUUACUUCAAUUGUGUUAUACUUUACAGUCGCUUGAAAAGUUUUCGAGCCUAACUUACCAAGUUUCUGCUGAACUGGAUAUAUUUAUUACAAAUAUACACGAUACUGAGUCUCCUAAUUCAGUAGAGGCCACAAAAAAUCUAUUAUAAGUUCAAGGGUCAGACUAUACCCGCUUAAAGGAGGAAAUACUUUCUGCAUCUAAGCACGGAGAGUCCCUUCUUGACAACAUUAAGUUAAUUGAUGAGUAUAAGGAAUUCUCUGAGCGCACCGGUAACGUUAGUGCCAUAGAAAGACUACUCGUGCAGCUGGAGGAAUCUGAGCCACGCUUCGAUGAGUUCUGGCGAACGCACCGCAAUCGCCUGGAACAGUGUCUGCGUCUGCGGAUGUUCGAGCAGGGGUUUCGCGAUCUGCAGAACCUAUUCGAUGUGCAUCUUAAGGCGAUUGCUGAACUGACUGAAAUUGGCGAGAGCGUGGAACGUGUUGCUAUGCUGAUUCAAGAAACCGAGUAAUUUCAAGCAAUGAUCAGGACUGACGUUGAGCGUAUCGAAGAAGUUGUUCAUGCCGGACAGCAGUUGAUAGGCUCACGCGGACUUUACCCCUGGGAGGUCGUUCAGCCCAAAUGUGAUGAGCUCCAGCGCGUUCGCGACGUAAUUGGCAUGCGUCUAACCAAAAGGUUGGAUAUCCUGGCCAAAAAUAGCGAACUAAUGGAGAGAGUUGAAAAGGCUAAUCAGUGGUGCGCCAAUGGUGUGGAGUUGUUGGCUUCCCAACGCAUCGAAAAGUGCUCAGUAUCAGCAGAUUUGGCCGAGCAGAGUCUACACGAGAUACAAGCUUUCAUCGCUUCUGCUUCUGAAUUUAAAUUAUCUAGUCCAAGUGAAUUUUAAAAAAUUUUCCUUGAUAGCACUACUCCUGAGACCAAAGCUCUCGUAUCACAGCUGCCUCAAGAAAUGGU